GGAUCAAUUUGUUGGUCGUGCUUAGGUACGUACUGGCAUUAUUGGUCUCUCCCCUCUGACGAACCACGAUGUCAUUAAUUUGGUGUUGUGGGAAAUCAGGACUGUUACUUUGAAAAAAUUAGAGUGUUUAAAGCAAGCUCACGCUUGAAUACAUUAGCAUGGAAUAAUGAAAUAGGACGUUUGAUUCUAUUUUGUUGGUUUCUAGGAUCGACGUA
rnacentral:rRNA from 1 species